UUCGGCUGUUGCCUUUGUAUGUAUAAUAUAUGGCUGUAGCGAUCACAUCACGUCACAUGACCAGAGUCACCCUGAUGUUAAAUGCACGCGAACAUCUUCAAUAGCCAGUUCGUUGUCUCAUCUCAAACUACGGUUGUUGCUGAGCUGACAGCUAUACUUAUCUGGCAACAAAACCGCCCGCCCCGAACAGCUCUGCAGUCGAUUCCGUCUGUUUUUAUUUUGUUAGAUAAAACGAGCUACUGUGUUUAAGGGUUUGUUGUUAUUUAUCUUGUUAGCAAAUCACUUUUUGGGGGGGAAACGUUAGUAAACAAUCCAAUUUGAAAGAUCAACCGAUCUUCACACUAAGCAUCUGUCUGCGGUUGAUCAGAAGAACCCAAAUAAACCCAGGAUGACGACCAACGCUCAGGAGGCGAAGAGUUGCCCAAUCCCUACCCGGGUGCUCACCCUGAAAGACUGGUCUCAGCUCCCCGACUGCUACAGUCAGACUCCCGGGGGUACUCUCUUCUCCACAACGCCCGGAGGUAAGAGCACCUGGCCCGGAUGUUUACGACCAACCAUGCAGCACGCACAACACGUUUUGUACCAGUGUUAGUUUAGCUAACGUUAGCCAGCUACUUUUUUUAGAUAGAAAAUUAACGUUUAUAAUGUGGGAAAAGGGGAACUAAACUAGCUAGGUAUUUGACGAUGGUUGUCAAAGGAAAUAACACGUUCGCGUUAAUUAUAGCUGUAUUGAAACGUACUUUUACUUCCCCAAAUCUUGCAACCUCUCAACGUUACUUAACCCUCACGGUCUUGUGACCAGUUUAUUUGGUCGGAUAUAAUACGUGCGCAAAUGAGUGACACGUGCUUGUUAGUUUGCUGGCUAAAACGAGGUUAGUCAUGUCUGUUUGACUUGCAGCAUACUGUGUUUGUUGGAAAUUGCGUAUGGUAUAUGUUAUUUUAAAUGCAACUGCAACUUCAUUCAAUGCCUCUUUAAAAAAAAAAAAAUGUGUUCAUAUUAUUGCGUCCAGUCAUUUUAAUAUGGGACCUCACUCUUCCCGUAAUGUUACGGCAAUAUUCUUAUUGAAAGACGAAAAUGAUUUAAGUGAUGUGGAAGAAAACUGGGAUCACGUGUUCAACUGCAUGGCUGCUGUUUACGUGCAGUCUGUGCAGAGCAGUAUGAAGGUGGGAUUCGGUACUGUCUGUUUACUACACUGCUCAGACCUGUGUAAACUCGCUGAGAGAACUGGCUGGUGAAAUUCACAUUCAAAACUGCUCAUGUAAAGUGCUGUGUUGGGAACCAAUUGCCAAUUAACUUUGCUGGGGCAGUUGAUCUGCUAUAUAUGGAAAACAUGCCACAUUAUGUAAGCUAAGUAGCCAUAGUGAUGGGAGUUAUGGUUGUCAAAUUUGGCACAACAUUUUUGAGCGGAAAAGCAACAACAAGCUCCUCUUAACCUAUGACCUAUUGGUGGGCGGGCCAGAUUCAGGGUGAUGAUUGGGGAGGAGAGAGGGAGACACCCUCUGGGCGCCACCACAGCUUCUCUGGUGCAUUUCAGGAAUACUGUAGGAACAUUCUGUUCUAGCCAAGUGGAGAGUGAAAAAAUCCAGAAAAGAGCUGUUAAAUUCUACAGCCACCCAAAAGGAAGCGAUUCCCAAACCUUCCAUAACAAAGCCAACACCUACAGACGGAUGAACCUUGAGAAAAGUCCCCAAAGCAAGCUGGUCCUGGGUCUCUGUUCAAACACACCCCACAGAGCCCCAGGACAGCAACACAUUUAGACCCAACCAAAUCAGGAGAAGACAAAGAUUAUUACUUGAAACAUUGCUUAGUUUUUUUUUGUUUAUUCUUUCCAAACUAGAAUGCUCUUUGUCCCAAAACAGAGUACAGCAUUGCAGAAUUCCAGACCACUGACUGACCCAAAAUUUAAGGAGAGCUAUGACUAUGUACAGACUUGGUGAGCAUAGCUUUGCUAUUGAAAGAGGCUGCUGUAGGUAGACCUUUGGACCUUUUGUUUACUGAGUGUAGUUUACUGUACGGUUUUUGUUUAUUUAACUUUGAUCUAUUUCACUUGCUUUGGCAAUGUAAACUUGUUUCCCAUGACAAUAAAGCCCUUGAAUUUGAGAGAGUAAAGUAUGAGAGGGGGAGGGAUUGGGAAGCAUAAAUGGAGUGCAACGAGAGGCCUUUCUAAGAAUUGUUGAAGUGAGGACAUGUGGGAGGGAGUGGUGGAAAGUGUGAUUUGGCUGAGAGCAGAAAGCAGUGUGGUUUCAGGUCCUCUAUGGAUCCUUAAACUUACUUUUGCGUCAUGGAAGACUAGGCCAAGCUUUAAGGAGUAGUUAUAACAUGGUUAUAACAGCUGUGUUAGUCAUUACACUGCUUAUGGUGAUUCUUCAUUGAUGCUUUACAACAGGUGCUCCCGAGUGUCACAGUGGUCUAAGGCACUGAAUCUCAGUGCCAGAGGUGUUACUACAGACCCUGGUUUGAUUCCAGGCUGUAUCACCGCCAGCCAGGAUUGCGAGUCCCAUAGCGCGGCGCACAAUUGGCUCAGCGUCGUCCGGUUUUGGCCGGGGCAGGCCGUCAUUGUAAAUAAGAAUAUGUUCUUAACUGACUUGCCUAGUUAAAUAAAUUAAAAACAUUUGGCCUAGAGCAGUUUUACAUGAUGCUUCUAUAACCAGAAGUUAAUUUUCUACAAUUAACUGUUGAUGUGAGCACAACAAGCAUUACACAUGGUUUGGAGAGACUGCUCCGCUCCCCCGGCCAAUCUCUCCCUGCUGUAAUGUGAUGAGGGGAGGGUGGGUGGGUGUUAUCCCAUUGCCACUGACAGAGCGUGGCAUUACAUGGGAUGGGCUCUGUUUCAUGUGAACCGAGAGAUUGGCCACAGAGCUGGACUUAGCUGGGCCUUUUCUGCAUAACUCAGGGCCAGGGUACUAUAGUUUAGCUGCUGGCUGUCCUGUUCUCUCUGCAUAGCUUCUGCCUAAAUUCCUGCCCUAAUGUUUAUACACACACUCCGCUUUCCUUUUGUUCAGGACAGGGUGCUCAACUGGCAGAGGUUGUAACUGUUCUGCACUGUAUCAGUUGUAACUACAGCGUGCUGUACUAAUACUCAGUGGUGGAAAAAGUACCCAAUUGUUAUUCUAAAGUAAAGAUGCCUUAAUAGAACAUUAAACUACUUCCCCCUACUGUACCUGCCUCUAAAAAGCUGGGAUUUGAAUCCUAGCUCUGGUAAAGGCAGCUCCUCCCAGUCUGCUCCAAACUCAGAUGCAACUAACCCUAUUACCCUUUCCUCCUCCUCUUCCUCCCCCCACACCACCAAGUCCUCCUUCCCCUCACGCCACCCUGGCUCGGCCCUCUCCGCCUUCUCCCACAUCCCCUCCCUCUCAAACUCCCCACACCCUCUCACACAGGUAAAGCACCCUCAGAUGGCCAGGGGCAGGCACACUUCAACACUCAGGCAUCAUUUACAAACAAAACAUUCAUUUGAUUUGUUGUGAGUCUGCCAGAUCAGAGGCAGUAGGGAUGGCCUCUUGAUAAGUGUGAAUUUGAUACUUUUUCCUGUCCUACUAAGCAUUCAAAAUGUAAUGAGUACUUUUGGGUGUCAUGGAAAAUGUAUGGAGUAAAAAGUACAUUUUUAGGAAUGUAGUAAAGUACAGAACACCAAAAAAAAAAACAGUUAAAGUACUAGUUGAGUACUUUCCACCACUGCUAAUACUAAAUACUGCACGGCAGCACUCCCCGUCCUCUCCAUGUAACCCUGUCCAGGGCAGACUUCAGUAGUAGACACCACAACAUUGGAUGAUAUAAUAUCUAUAACGACUGUUUAUCAAACGUUCUGUCAGUCGAUACACAGUGGUUCAGGUGAAACUUCAGUUCAUCAGGAUGAUAUUCAGUAUGAUAUAAUAUCUAUAACGACUGUUUAUCAAUGUUCUGUUGCAAUUCAGGGAUCACAUCAGUCUGUCAGCAACCUGUCGGAGCCUAGUUGUUUACCAAACAGUCUCUACUGUAGACAUGCAGACAACCUUUGUAUGGAGUGGCAAGUCAAGUUCCCUUUUACAUACUGUAUUCCAAAUGGUCUAGGCCUGUUGUGGAAGAGAUGACAUAACCUCCACUCAACCAGGCAACCUCAUGAAUGGGGUAUCACCACAGGAGGCCUCGUCAAGCCACCUAAGCAAACAUAAUGUAGGGAAAACUCUGCAGGUGACUACAGUACAGCUCUGUAGCGUGCGACACUGAGCGCCCGGUGCAGGCCACACUGAGCGCCCGGUGCAGGCGACACGGAGCGCUCUGUGUUUGGUGGUGACUACAUGUUUCUGGUCUGCCUCCUGUCACCACUUCCUGGUUCUAGGAGAACUUGUUUAUGUUCUCCACUUUCCUAGAACUGGCUUACUACUGCCAACCCACAAGUUCUUUCCUCUGUUUCCUCUGUUUCCUCCUGUUUUCCUCUUUUCCCUUACUCACAAUGGCCAACUGACUCCUCUUCUCCCCUCCCUCCUCCAUCUCCUCUCCCUCCUCCAUCUCCUCUCCUUGGGCUGAAAACCGUGUGUUUGGUAUGCAUCCAACAGCUCUGACCCUAAGGCCAGGGAGGGCCUCAGGGGUGCAGUCCCAGUUUCUUCCAGAUACACUAUUGUAUUUGUGCAGUUUUGACAUCAAACGAUUCAUGGAUGGUUUUCAAGGGGAUAAAUCAGGAACUAAAUCAUCCAUUUUUGUACACUGAAUAAUGUGCUUGAGUUUAUAACUAAUCUCCAACAGAUGUUAUGGUACAUGAGUCAAUUUUAGGGAUGUCCCUGGCUAAAAUAAAAUUUGUGGUCGACCGAAUGUCUGUUCUUCAGACCAAUUGAUUGGUGAACAUGUAUUCUUACUUAUUGAUACAUCCUGUGUUUUAGUCAUAUCAGCUAUAUGCACUGAGCCUCAGACUUGCUGUGUUAAAAAACAAAUUGACAGCGACUGGCUGUGACGAGCACCCGUUGUCUGUGUCUCUUACCCUGCUACAGAGACCACAACAUCAACAGAACAGUGUUUAUCGCGCUGUCCGUGUUGCUGAAAAGUUGGCCGAAAUCCCUAAUUUGUUUAGGAAAAUCUUUACCCCAACCCGUGCUCUCUUUGUCACUCAUUUAUACAUCACAUGCACCUGACCAAUAUGGCCUGACUGGCUAUAAUGGCGCUGGAGGGGAUGACUGACGUUUUACAGACUGCUAACCAACUGUGCUAUUUAUUUUUUAUCCCACAUUGUUUUUACAGUUGAAGUCGGAAGUUUACAUACAUCUUAGCCAAAUGCAUUUAAACUCAGUUUCACAUAUUCCUGACAUUUAUUCCUAGUAAAGAUCUUAGGUCAGUUCGGAUCAACAAUUUAUUUUAAGAAUGUGAAUGUCAGAAUAAUAGAGUUUUAUUUAUUUCAUCACAUUCCCAGUGGGUCAGAAGUUUACAUGCACUCAAUUAGUAUUUGGUAGCAUUGACUUUAAAUUGUUUAACUUGGGUCAAACAUUUUGGGUAGCUUUCCACAAUAAGUUGGGUGAAUUUUGCCCCAUUCCUCCUGACAGAGCUGGUGUUACUGAGUCAGGUUUGUAGGCCUCCUUGCACGCACAUGCUUCUUCAGUUCUGCCCACAAACUUUCUAUAGGAUUGAGGUCAGGGCUUUGUGAUGGCCACUCCAAUACCUUGCUUUGUUGUCCUUACGCCAUUUUUCCGCAACUUUGGAAGUAUGCUUGGGGUCAUUGUACAUUUGGAAGACCCAUUUGCGACCAAGCUUUAACUUCCUGACUGAUGUCUUAAGAUGUUGCUUCAAUAUAUCCACAUAAUUUUCCUUCCCCAUGAUGCCAUCUAUUUUGUGAAUUACACCAGUCCCUCCUGCAGCAAAGCACCCCCACAACAUGAUGCUGCCAUCCUCCUCAGACCAGAGGACAUUUCUCCAAAAACAAUGAUCUUUGUCCCCAUGUGCAGGUGCAGACUGUAGUCUGGCUCUUUAUGGCGGUUUUGGAGCAGUGGCUUCUUCCUUGCUGAGUGGCCUUUCAGGUUGUCGAUAUAGGACUUGUUUUACUGUGCAUAUAGAUACUUUUGUACCUGUUUCCUCUAGCAUCUUCACAAGGGCCUUUGCUGUUCUGGGAUUGAUUUGCACUUUUCACACAAGUGUGUUCUGCCUCCUAGAGAUGAACGUAUCUCCUUCCUGAGCGGUAUGACGGCUGAGUGGUCCCAUGGUGUUGAUACUUGCGUAUUAUUGUUGGUACAGAUGAACGUGGUACCUUCAGGAGUUUGGAAAGGAUGAAUCAGACUUGUGGAUGUCUACAAUUUUUGGUUUCUGAGGUCUUGGCUGAUUUUUCUUUUGAUUUUCCCAUGAUGUCAAGCAAAGAGGCACUGAGUUUGAAGGUAGGCCUUAACACAUCCACAGGUACACCUCCAAUUGACUCAAUUAGCCUAUCAGAAGCCACUAAAGCCAUGAUAUAAUUUUCUGGAAUGUUCCAAGCUGUUUAAAUGCACAGUCAUCUUAGUGUAUGUAAACUUCUGACCCACUGGAAUUGUGAUACAGUGAAAUAGGGUUAUGGUCUGUAAAUAAUUGUUGGAAAAAUUACUUGUCAUGCGCAAAGUAGAUGUCCUAACCGACUUGCCAAAAUUUUAGUUUGUCAACAAGAAAUUUGUGAAGUGGUUGACAAACGCGUUUUAAUGACUCCAACCUAAGUGUAUGUAAAUUUCCGACUUCAACUGUUACUAAUUUUGUACAUAAUGUUGCUGCUACCGUCUCUUAUGACCGAAAAGAGCUUCUGGAUAUCAGAACAGCGAUUACUCCCCUCGAACUGGACAAAGAUUUUUUUUCUUUAAUGUGUCUGACUCGAAGGAUAUAUUGCUUUGUCGAGCCAAGGAUCAAAUCGGCGUCAUCUGUUUGAAUAAAAGGGGGAGGAGGGCAGGUGCCUUGUAAGAAUUUGUUGACGAGUAGGUAAACCACCACUAACCUUUGCACGUUGGCCAAUAAUACAAUAAUUGGAAAACAAACUGGACGAUCUACGAUUAAGACUAUCCUACCAACGGGACAUUCAAAACUGUAACAUCUUGUGUUUCACUGAUACGUGGCUGAACGACGACAUGGAUAAUAUAGAGCUGGCUAGCUUCCCCGCGCAUCAGCAGGACAGAGCAGCUACGUCUGGUAAGACGAGGGGCGAGGGUGUGUCAAUAACUGCUGUUGUGCAAUGUCUAAUAUUAAAGAAGUCUCAAGGUAUUGCCCGCCUGAAGUAGAAUACCUCAUGAUAAGCUGUAGACCACACUAUCUAUAUUAUUCGUAGCCGUCUAUUUACCACCACAAACUGAUGCUGGCACUAUGACCGCACUCAAGAAAAUGCUCGUCCAGAAGCGGCGCUCCUAGUGGCCAGGGACUUUAAUGCAGGCAAACUUAAAUCCGUUUAACCUCAUUUCUACCAGCAUGUCACAUGCAACCAGAGGAGAAAAAAAACUAUUGACCACUUACUCCACACACAGAUGCAUACAAAGCUCUCCCUCGCCCUCAAUUUGGCAAAUCUGACCAUAAUUCUAUCCUUCUGAUUACGAGCUAAAACUAUAGCAGGAAGUACCAGUGACUCGCUCAAUACGGAAGUGGUCAGGUGAUGCGGCUGCUACGCUGCAGGACUGUUUUGCUAGCAAAGACUGGAAUAUGUUCUGGGAUUGCACUGACCGGUUGCUACGGAGGGCAUGCACUGACCGGUUGCUACGGAGGGUCUUUCAUACGGCUCAGUACAUCGCUGAGGCCAAGCUUCCUGACAUCCAGGACCUACAGUGCUUUGCAAAAGUAUUCAUCCCCCUUAGUGUUUUUUCUUAUUUUGGUGCACUACAACCUGUCAUUUAUUUGGAUUUCAUGUAAUGGACAUACACAAAAUAGUCCAAUUUGGUGAAAUUAAAAUAACUUGUUUAAAAAAAAUUCUUAAAGGAAAAGUGGUGCGUGUAUAUGCAUUCACCCCCUUUGCACCACCAAGCUAAUACCCCCCGACAGGAACACGCAUCAUCUACGACAGGAAGUUCCUGCUGGACUGUCGGAACUCUCCCAUUGCCCGGACUCCUCCAUGCUGCCUGCCCCAGAUCCCAGGGGUGACGGUGCCCGCUCUGCACCCUCUGGGCAAACUACAGGAACUUAAAGAGGAGCUGGAGGAGGAGGAGAAGGACCUGGGAGAUGACAGCCAGUUUGAGAUGGACAUCUGAGCAGCAGCGCAUUGCCUCCUGUGGAGAGAACUGUUUUAUCUUCUAUUCUGACGUCUGAUUGGUCCUUUACAACCAGCAUGCGUCACAUUCACCUUCUUCAACUUCCUUUUUUAAAACCUUUUUGUUGUUGAGGAAACCCCCCAAAAUAAAGAGAAUGGGGACAUGUCGAUCCCUGUGUUAGUAUUAUUUUUAGCACCAGUAUGCGUCAAUGGUUGCAGAUUAGUGUCUGAGCUGCAGGGUUGGAAGAACCAAUACAUUUGUUUGGACUGUUUUUGGUUUGUACAUAAGAGUACAGUACUUUGUAUUUUUUAAAAGGAGAGAGAUGUACGAGAUUUUACAUGAAACAUACAGGGACGGAGGGGUUGGUCAAGACGUCUGACCCUGGCAUAAGGUUAAAGGUCAGAGGUUGGGGUGACUGUUGGACAGGCUCUUCCAUGCAUCUACCUGUGGAGGAGGAACUGAAAUGUAUCAAAGUUCAAAAUAAAAAUCAGUAUAAAACCUAAA
ensembl:lncRNA